rnacentral:rRNA from 1 species
UACGUAGGGGGCAAGCGUUGUCCGGAUUUAUUGGGCGUAAAGAGCUUGUAGGCGGUUUGUCGCGUCUGCUGUGAAAAUCCGGGGCUCAACCCCGGACUUGCAGUGGGUACGGGCAGACUAGAGUGUGGUAGGGGAGACUGGAAUUCCUGGUGUAGCGGUGAAAUGCGCAGAUAUCAGGAGGAACACCGAUGGCGAAGGCAGGUCUCUGGGCCACUACUGACGCUGAGGAGCGAAAGCGUGGGGAGCGAACAGG